UGCCAGCCGCCGCGGUAAUACGGAGGGUGCAAGCGUUACUCGGAAUCACUGGGCGUAAAGCGCGCGCAGGCGGCCUUUUAAGUUGGAUGUGAAAGCCUAUGGCUCAACCAUAGAACUGCAUCCAAAACUAUCAGGCUAGAGUGUGGGAGAGGAAGAUGGAAUUAGUUGUGUAGGGGUAAAAUCCGUAGAGAUAACUAGGAAUACCAAAAGCGAAGGCAAUCUUCUGGAACAUUACUGACGCUGAGGCGCGAAAGCGUGGGGAGCAACAGGAUUAGAUA
rnacentral:rRNA from 1 species